rnacentral:lncRNA from 1 species
CCCUGCUCUGUCCCAAAAUGGUUCUGCAGAGAAAAUGAAAGUGUCUCGAGCAGGAGCAGAAAGCGCAUGUCAGGAUGGGCCCUGGACGUGAUGGAACGGUGCCUCAGGGAAAGAAAUAGCCACAGACUUGUGGGGCAGACGGCUUUUUGUGGAGGAGGAAACGCUAGAAAAGGCUUUGGAAUAAAGAGAGCACGAGUGUUGGCUGACACCAGGUUGGAAUCUCAAGCCUGGAUAGCGGGUUAAUAUUUCUGGAUGUGAAUUAUUCAAGAUUUCUGGAAUACCUGAAAAGAUAAAGAAUAUCCUUUUGGCUUUGCAGAUAUGGGAUAGCAGAACAAUUACUACUAUGGAAAUAGAAUCUUACCUGCUUUCUUACUUUUUUCAGAGUCCGUGCAAUACCUGCACAUACUUUGGAUAAAAAUCAUUCAGAUAUGUAUUUAAAUAUGUAGAGGCUGCUAAUUCUCUUUCUAGGAGAUAAUAUAUCAUUAUGGGAAUAUUCUGCAGAAUAUAAUAGAAGUUAGUAGACUGGAUAUAAUAGUGAAUUUAAAAAGAACUUGAUAGCGAUUUAUACUUUUUUAUAGAAAAUGAUUAAAAUGCUUUAUGGGAAGGGUUUAACUCGUUAUUGCUUCUUUAGCUUCUUACAGUAGAUUUCUGCAGAAGCCUUGUGUUUUCAGAGAGCUG